UGGUAGCUCGGCUUACACAUGCAGUCGAGGGGAACGGGCGCCAAGCUUGCUUGGCGCAGUCGUCGACCGGCGAAUGGGUGAGUAACGCGUAUCCAACCUGGCUUCAAGCAGGGAACAGGCUUUCGAAAGAAAGAUUAAUACCCUAUGUGGUCCUCGGAAGACAUCAGAGGAGGACGAAAGAUUCAUCGCUUGAAGAUGGGGAUGCGUCUGAUUAGGCAGUUGGCGGGACAAGGGCCCACCAAACCGACGAUCAGUAGGGGUUCUGAGAGGAAGGUCCCCCACAUUGGAACUGAGACACGGUCCAAACUCCUACGGGAGGCAGCAGUGAGGAAUAUUGGUCAAUGGGCGGAAGCCUGAACCAGCCAAGUAGCGUGCAGGAUGACGGCCCUAUGGGUUGUAAACUGCUUUUGAAGGGGAGUAAAGUGAGUGACUUGUCAUUCAUUGCAAGUACCCUUGGAAUAAGGACCGGCUAAUUCCGUGCCAGCAGCCGCGGUAGUACGGAAGGUCCGGGCGUUAUCCGGAUUUAUUGGGUUUAAAGGGAGCGUAGGCUGCCCGGCAAGCGUGCUGUGAAAUACAGUGGCCCAACCACUGGACUGCAGCGCGAACUGUCGGGCUUGAGGGCGCACGACGCAAGCGGAAUUUGUGGUGUAGCGGUGAAAUGCUUAGAUAUCACGAAGAACCCCGAUUGCGAAGGCAGCUUGCGGGAGCGCGACUGACGCUGAAGCUCGAAAGUGCGGGUAUCAAACAGGAUUAGAUACCCUGGUAGUCCGCACGGUAAACGAUGGAUGCCCGUUCUGCGGCCUUCGGGCCGCGGGACCAAGCGAAAGCAUUAAGCAUCCCACCUGGGGAGUACGCCGGCAACGGUGAAACUCAAAGGAAUUGACGGGGGCCCGCACAAGCGGAGGAACAUGUGGUUUAUUCGAUGAUACGCGAGGAACCUUACCCGGGCUUGAAUUGCAGGCUAAUGCGGCGGAGACGCCGCAGUCCUUCGGGAAGUCUGUGAAGGUGCUGCAUGGUUGUCGUCAGCUCGUGCCGUGA
rnacentral:rRNA from 1 species